rnacentral:lncRNA from 1 species
GGAGCCGAAAAUUGUGACACGCCGAUAGCGAGAUUGCCAAGCACAUUCCGUUUUCCAAAGCAAGGGUGGACGGAGGACCGGCGGAAAGCAGCCCAUCUUGCUGUUGGCCCAUCCGAAAGCCCAUAUCUUAACGAAACGCUUGUUCGUUGCUUAUCGGUAGAUGUGGCUAUGGACAUUAUUUCUUCAUUCUUUCUUUUCUUUUUUUUUUUCGCUAGAGCUGCUAGCAACCGUAUCAUUACGGCAGUUGCCCCG